GAGGUUAUAGCUCAGUAGUAGAGCAUUCGACUGCUAAUGGAAAGGUCCCCGAUUCAAACUCGGGUGUACUUUU